AGACGUCUACAUUAGAUACCCCGGUAGUCCCAGCCGUAAACGAUGCGCGUUAGGUGUAUCGACGACCACGAGUCGUCGAGGUGCCGAAGGGAAACCGUGAAACGUGCCGCCUGGGAAGUACGGUCGCAAGGCUGAAACUUAAAGGAAUUGGCGGGGAGCACCACAACGGGUGGAGCCUGCGGUUUAAUUGGACUCAACGCCGGGAAGCUCACCGGAUAAGACAGCGGAAUGAUUGCCGGGCUGAAGACUCUGCAUGCCUAGCUG
rnacentral:rRNA from 1 species